UUUUUUUUUUUUUUUUUUUUUAUCAAAUAUAAUAUACUUUAUUGGUAUUUUCAUAUGAAGAAUUAUUGUAUGAAUAAAACUAUGAAUAAGCAAAAAGUUAUUUUUAAGAUGUCGCUGUUAAAAUGUUCUACAUGCUAUUAAAGCUGCAAUGACCACCACUGACUACCAAUGACUACCAAUGGCCACCACUGACCACCAAUGACCAUCAGGGUAAAGUUGGCUAGCACUUUAGAUGACUAUUUUGUCAAAAGAAUUAAAGUUCUACCAAUGCAGGACCAGACUGGUUCUAUCGCUUUGCCUUUAUCUUCAGCGUCGUCAUUAAAAAACGAUGUAAUUGUCAAUUUAUUGGUGGGGCUGAAAAUAAUAAAAUUACAAUGAAACUUA